CAGAGACUGAGUCACAGCAGCAUAGAAAGAAUGACUCAUGUCCUAUCGGCUAAACAUUAUCAGGUGUUGAAGAUGGAGCAAAACAACCUGUGUUAAAAAUAUUCCUCUACUGUGUCUGCUGGGAACACACAGGUAGCAUAAAAAUAAACUGAAACAAGUAAGAGAACUAGACUUGACAUGUGAAUAUAAUGAACUUGUGGUGUAUUAGAAGCAGAGAGCCUGGAAAAGUACUUGAGAAGAAGGCAUGCUUGGGUGACAGCUGAGAAACAGAAGGAGCAGUGUACAUUCUGCAGCAUGUAGGCAUUGGAUGGGAGCGACAGGUCCCAGGAUGCUCUACGUUGGACACGCUGCGACAUCUGCCAGGUCUGUGGUCCUGCUCUUUGACACGGGACAGAAAAUCCAACUCAACCGAUCUGGAGCUGAAGAUGAGAUGGAUCCUACUCAAGACACAGGGAUAAGAGGGAUCUAUUUUCAAAGGAAACAAGACAGUCUUAGCAAAAGAAGAGAAAUGGAGGCGACUUUUUGGCAAAUACUGCAUCUUCAGCCAGGAGAAGUUGGCUGAGGACAAAAGGGCUUUUGAAGCGGUGAGUGUAAAUUCAGACUCCUUUUCUUUCUUUCUUCCUUCCUUCCUUUCUUCGCCCUCUCUCUUCUCCUGGGUCCGGAGACCGCUCAGCAGAAAUAAUCAGCGCCGUUGCUUUCCGUCCACGUCCCCUGAAUUACUCAAACAUCAAAUGUGACUUCAGAAUGGAGGCACGCUUGAUUCUUUUCUGCAAAAGUUUCCCUACCCAUUCUUUAUUUACAUGUCCUGGUAAGGCACAGCGAUGUCCAGCCAGUCAGAAGACACACACACACACACACACACACACACACACACACACACACAGGAGGCC
rnacentral:lncRNA from 1 species